GGAGCUUGGGGUGGCAGCGCAGUGUUGUAACUUAUGACAGAAAACUGUUAAAAGGAAAAUGGUUAUUCAUUUGCAUUUGAUGAUUAUUUUGUGGAAGUUUAUGUUUCUUCUGUCUCCUUUGACUCCUCUAAAGAUACAUCUAAUCCACACAUUUGAUCAGGCAUCGCCACAAGAAGGUAAGACCCAAAAUUUUACAAAACUGUGGUGGGGUGGUCUUUUUUCUUUUUUCUUUUUUCUUUUUUGGGCUCAAGUUUGCAAUUAGUUUUGUUGAUUCUGUUGACUCAUUUGAAGCUAUAUACUGCAAUUGAUUUCCUUGCAAUAAACUUGUAGAGAUAGAUCUUAUUUUACCAUGGUGAUUGUAAACUUUCAUAGUUGUUAAUCAGGCCAACCACCAUGGUUUACUUGUUUCUUUCUUUUCUUCUGUCCACAUCUGAGGAAUAGUUGAGGUCGUACAUAGAAGGUGAACUGCAUUCCUAAAUUUUAGAUUUAUCACUAGUAAUAGGUGGCUAGGCACAUUGAUUUUCAAGUUUCAACAACUCUAAUUAGGAAAUCAUUCAAUUCAGUUAUGGUACUGCACUCUAAUUUUAAUGGGAUAGAGGUUAGUGAUUCUAUUUCUAUCACAUUUUGUUGCUAAUUAGCAUUAUUUAGUUGACUUUUUGAAUAAAUAUGGUUUUAGGCAAACUAUGAUAUUGGGUUCUCUUCCUCUUUCAAUUGAUUCAUAUAUUGUGCUUGGCAUAUACAGAAUAUUUCAAAAUUCUUUGAGUGUGUUAGUCUGACUGGACCCCAAUGAUGUACUAGAAAAUACUAAAUUGAUUAAAUAUCUUUUCUCUUGGGGUAUUUCCAGUUCAAUUUGUACAAUUACUCCAAGAGUAUAUUUGGACAGUGUGUUUGAAGACUAUGUUAAUGCUAGCAAAAUUUGUUACUUGCUUCUGAUCUUCUGCAUACUGCAAGUACUUUGGGUUAUUUAAGGUUAGCUGCUAAUUAGUGACGGUUAUGUCUAUUGCUUGUCAAAGCAUUAUUUGAUUAUCAGUUUCAUACGGUUAAUAUGUGCCUGCACAGAAAAUGAAAUUUCUUGAACUUAGUUAUGUUCAAGUAAAGUGCUGGACAGAAAAUUAAGGGAAAAUUUUGGAGAUAUCUUAAGGCAACACUUAAUUAGAUGCUCUUUUUCAAGUACUUGGGAUUGCAUGGAAAUAACAUUAUGGGCAUUAUCAAAGAGCGAUGCUGUUAUGGGCCUUAUCAAUUCUAGCAUGAGAUUUCAUGUAGCUGAUUUUGAGCUGAAAUUUGGGGAUUUUUUGUUGGAAGAUAAAUUAGGAUUAAAUAAGGUACUGAAUUGGAGCUGGUUAUGGGGAUUUCAGUCCUUCGACAGUUUAUAUAUGUGAUCCUGAUUUUAAAAACAUUAACCUUGAAGCUACGCCAAAUGUUUCUCAAAUCAACCUGACAUCUUUCCCUCUUUUCUUCUAAUUUUUGCAUUGUUUCAAUAUGAUAGAAUACAGAUUUAAUUGUUUGGAAGCAAAUUAAAUUAAGAUACUAAAUCAGUCAGGAUGUGUAACUAGACCUUGAUGAACUGUGUAGUGCUCUAUAACCGAUCUUUCUCUAUUUUCCUAUGGUUGCAGAGAUAGCUGCCACCAAGAUUUGUCGUUCCCAAAUAAACCUGAAGAUUGCAAAACUCUUGACAGCAAAGAAGAACAACUCCUGUAUUCAAUUCCUUCCAAUUCAAAGUGGUGAAAGUGCUUUGUGAUAACAUAAGUAAGUUGCUUAAUAGUGGCAUUAAUUUGAGUUGGCCAAUCUUAAGCAUAGUUGGCUUACUUACAAAUCAAUAGUAAAAGUGAUUUCUAGAAUAUUAUUUUGAGAGGUAUUUUUUACUUGGCGGUCAUUUUAUGUCAUUUCUCAUCUAUAUUAUAGCAAAAGUCCUUACAAGUUAUAACCAUCUUUUCCCCUUAGAUUGAGUUGUUUACUCUCUCUUAUUGCCUGCAGAAGAGGAUCUUAAAAGUGAGAAGCAUUUGGACUAAAGUUUGGUGGACAAGCUCAAGAUCAAUGUAAGCAGGAUCGCGGAGAAACGAAAUAAGAACAAAAAGGGUCACAUUUCACGUUACAAAGUAGGGUAGGGAUCGCUUUGUUGGUGUAGAAUACGAAAUAUGGUAAAAAGAUAUAGUUAAAUCUCAUUGAGUUAGGUGAUGUUUGAUUGCAUCUUAAUACAUCUUAACAGUCCACCUCUUAAUGCAUUUUAAUAGCCGACAUUUUUCUAUUAUGAGGUCCUUUGAACAGUUUAGACUCAUAUUUAUAUCUUAACUAUUCAGAGGAUCUCUUAAUACAAAUAUGUGGGCUCUUAAGAGGCAUUAAGAGGUGAACUGUUAAGAUGCAUUUAUCUUGGUGGAAUUAAUUGAAUUUUUUAGAAUUUUAUUAUACAUAAUUGUCAUUUUAUAGAAUUUAAUUAUAAAUAUUAGAGUUUCUGAUAGAAUGUUCUAGCUUUUAUAUAUGUGAUAA
rnacentral:lncRNA from 1 species